rnacentral:rRNA from 1 species
CUAAGUUUGAUGGCGACCGGCGCACGGGUGAGUAGCACGUAUCCAACCUGCCGAUGACUCGGGGAUAGCCUUUCGAAAGAAAGAUUAAUACCCGAUGGCAUAGUUCUUCCGCAUGGUAGAACUAUUAAAGAAUUUCGGUCAUCGAUGGGGAUGCGUUCCAUUAGGUUGUUGGCGGGGUAACGGCCCACCAAGCCUUCGAUGGAUAGGGGUUCUGAGAGGAAGGUCCCCCACAUUGGAACUGAGACACGGUCCAAACUCCUACGGGAGGCAGCAUG